rnacentral:rRNA from 1 species
AAUUUUGGACAAUGGGGGAAACCCUGAUCCAGCCAUCCCGCGUGUAUGAUGAAGGCCNNNGGGUUNUCAAGUACUCUGGCAGANAAGNAAAGGUAUCUCCUAAUACGAGAUACUGCUGACGGUAUCUGCAGAAUAAGCACCGGCUAACUACGUGCCAGCAGCCGCGGUAAUACGUAGGGUGCAAGCGUUAAUCGGAAUUACUGGGGGUAAAGAAGGUGUAGGAGGUUCGGAAAGAAAGAUGGAGAAAAACAGGGGCCAACAAUGGAACUAUAGUUUUAAAUGCCGGGCUAGAGGAUGUCAGAAGGGGGUAGAAUUACACGUGGAGCAGUGGAAUGAGGAGAUAUGUGGAGGAAUACCGAUGGCGAAGGCAGCCCCCUGGGGUAAUACUGACGCUCAGGAACGAAAGAGUGGGGAGCAAACAG